AGUAACGCGUAGGAACGUACCCCAAAGUGAGGGAUAACUGCUCGAAAGAGUAGCUAAUACCGCAUGUGCUCUAAGGAGUAAAGCUUUAUGCGCUUUGGGAACGGCCUGCGUCUGAUUAGCUUGAUGGUGAGGUAAAAGCUCACCAUGGCGACGAUCAGUAGCUGGUCUGAGAGGAUGAUCAGCCAGACUGGGACUGAGACACGGCCCAG
rnacentral:rRNA from 1 species